rnacentral:rRNA from 1 species
UAGGGAAUCUUCGGCAAUGGACGGAAGUCUGACCGAGCAACGCCGCGUGAGUGAAGAAGGUUUUCGGAUCGUAAAGCUCUGUUGUUAGAGAAGAACGUUGGUAGGAGUGGAAAAUCUACCAAGUGACGGUAACUAACCAGAAAGGGACGGCUAACUACGUGCCAGCAGCCGCGGUAAUACGUAGGUCCCGAGCGUUGUCCGGAUCUAUUGGGCGUAAAGCGAGCGCAGGCGGUUCUUUAAGUCUGAAGUUAAAGGCAGUGGCUUAACCAGUGUACGCUUUGGAAACUGGAGGACUUGAGUGCAGAAGGGGAGAGUGGAAUUCCAUGUGUAGCGGUGAAAUGCGUAGAUAUAUGGAGGAACACCGGUGGCGAAAGCGGCUCUCUGGUCUGAAACUGACGCUGAGGCUCGAAAGCGUGGGGAGCAAACAGG